UAUUUCUUUUCUGAUUAAAAUAACCUCUCACACAAGAACAUAUCUUGAUUUGUUCGCAAACCAGUUUUUCAUUUCAUUUCUCCACCCAUAGAUUUCUGUAAUAAUAAUGAGGAGAUUCAGAACCUCUAUAUGAUAAGAAUCAAUUUUCAUUUCAUCUAUUAGAUUUCAGGUUAGUAUUUGAACUUUAAUUACUCAAUAUUCAUAUAUCUCUCAUUCGAUUUUCUAUGUCAAUCGAUUUAUUAUCGAUUCCGAAUGUUUGAUUAGAAAUGAUCAUGAUCCAAUAUUUUCUCAUAUCUCUCUACUUCUCGUCUCUAGUGAUCUGUUGAGGAAGAAUCUUAGUUAGAAAAACUAGUUAUUUUUAUAAGAAAAUUUCAGAUCUAAAAUUUUUAGAAGAGAGAGGCGAUUUCAAAAAAGUUUUAGGGCUUCGUUAUUCUCCGUGGUUGUUUUCUGCGAUUCAAGAUAAAGAUCAUACAUGUAAAAAAAAAAAAAAUCAUUUUGGUGAAGGUGAAUAAAGAAAUUGAAGAUAAUAUCCAUGCCACAUGAGUGAUUGAAAUUGAAAUUGAAAUCUAUAAAGUGCUCUGUGUUUGAACCUUCUUCGACGAUGAAAGAAUCUGAACCAAUGGAGAAAUUAGUUUCUUCUUUGAAAUUAACAGCUUAAUUCGAGUUUCUGCUAGUUGAUUUUGAAAAUUGGAAGAUCGAAGAAGACCUCUGGACCAAGUGGAAAUAUUUCUUGUAAAUUUUCAGAUUCUGUACAAGACCGUCAGUUGGAUAUUAAAGGGAACACAUUUUCAUUUGGAGUGAUGUUACUUGAAAUAAUUAGUGGGAGACCUCCGUAUAGUAAAGAUACAGGAUAUUUGAUAAAUUGGAUGGAAGAAACCAACGAGUGCGAAACUAGCCCUUGGGAGCUGUAAAGCGAGUUUAUGUUAUUUUCACAUCUUUGGAAUCUUGGAUUUUCAUUUCCUUGAUGGAUCCUUGACCUUAGCGGCACAUUUUAAACCUGAUUUUUCUUCUCCACUGUCAAGCACGUAAUUGUGUCGUAUCCCAGGCCUGAAACUUCAUGGAUUGAGGGUGUCCUUGUGAGUCAUUAACAAAUCCUGUGGUUAUUGUGGAAGUAUCAUAAAGGAUGAGCUGUAGGGUGAACAGUGUGAGUCAACAUGUGACUUUGCCACCUACUUCUUAUGCCAUUACUGUGUUUUAUGCGAAGAAGCGAGAUAGCUGCCACGUAGGUCUCCGCAUCCAGGAUUUAAUGGUAGGUCCAUCUUUGUUAUGAUGCCUCCAUCAGAGCAGGUGGUAAUUCCUGAAAUAUGUGACCCCUUAAUGAUAUCUACCUAUAUCCUUUCUAUUCAUAUAUACUGGAUACAUGUUAAACCCCAUAGUUAGCUACAUGCAAUCUUUAUGACAUAUACUAACAACUUGGGUUUGUCACAAGAUGCAUCUGUACAUGAACGACAAUGUCCAGAGACCAUGUUUUGAUAUCUAUUCGACACUUUUUAUUGAUAUGUUAAUGUACAUAACAAUGUACACAUGUGGCUUCUUAAUGUGCACGUAGUAGUACACAUGUUGAUUUUCAAUGUGCACGUAGUUGUACACCUAUUGAUAACUAAUGUGCAUAUAGUCCUACACCUAUUGGUCGAUAAUGAAGCUAGGUUUGGACUUCAUAAAAAUAUGUAAUAUACAAUUAUGUCACUUUCCUACCUGAGUGGUCAAAAAAUCUAGGGAGUAAACAUGUGAAAUGGCAUAUUCUUGACAUGUACAUAAUUAUACACACAUGUUGAUUGUAAAUAUGGUGUGUACAUUAGGUAUUAUUAUUGUUCAUGGUUGUUCUUUAACCAAAUGAUGGACGAGAUGCGAUUAUCGUCUUCAAAAAAUAAAUUGUUGAUUCCAUUUGAUAUACAUUUCUUAAUUUUCUUGUAAUUUUUUUAUUCAUGUGUUUGACUUAUUAGUUGAACUGACUUUAUGAUCAUGUAGAUGCUAUUUUUGAGAAUAUACCCACGUUGAAGAGAUGGAAGUAGAUCAACAGGUAUUAGUUUAUCAGUUGUUUUUUUAUGCUAAUUAAUCUAGCUAAAAAGUGUUUGGUUUGAUUAGAGUUCUCAAGUCUGAAAGAAGAUGGUGUUACUGAGAUUUCAAGGGUGUUAGAACUGUUGAUUUGAUGAAUAUGGAGACAAUACUGUUACUUUGUGUGAUUUAGAGUUUGCAGUGAGUAAGCUGAUAACGAAAUGAAGAAAAGCUGUGCAUUGUUGCUGGCUGAGCAAUUACAGGCUAUGGAUGAGCUGCAGCUGGCUAUGAAGCAAUUGCAGGUGAUGCUAUGGGAAAUCUGGAAGAAUGGGUUUGCUUAUAUGUUGUAGUACAAGGAUGGUGCAGCUGAGUACUGAUGGUAGAACUCUGAAGUGGUGAUCUGGUGAAUAAAAAUUUUGAGUUGAAUGGUUGAGGUGUUGUAGUUGUUUGCAGCAGCAGAGUUAAGAGUGCUUGAGGGUUAAGAGUGCUUGAGCAUUGGAGCUGGUGUUGGUAAUGAGUUUGGGUUGUAAACAAGUUGUAUUUUUGUAAAUGUGUACAUGCAUGUUUGUACACCAAUGUAAGCUGAGUUUUUCAAAAAAUGAGAAUUAUAUAGUCAUAUGGGUAUUCUUUUUGUAGCUCUCGGAAAGAGUUUUCCGAAUAUAUAAAGUUUGCGAAUUUUGGACAAA